GGGGGCAUGGGCUGGGCUUGAGCCUGUGACACGCAGGCUCUCCUCAUUGGAGGGGCAUAGGCUGUGGAGCCUAGAGACCCAGCUGGGUGGAUGCCCAGCAGGCAGAGGGUGCUGGAUGGAGUACAGGUGUGGGGACACAGGGAACAGCCUUCGAAAGCCACAGGGUGGAGCUUCCACAGAGGACAGGCAGGCCUGGGUGAAGCUGAGGUUUGGGGUGACAGGGGCAAUGGGGGUCUGCAUCUGGGAGCCCACUGGCCAUCAGGGCCAGGACCCAAAGACAGCUGAGGGCACAGUGUGGGGUGCAUUGGGGCAUUGCUGCCACUGUCCUGAGCAGGAAUACUGAUCAGGAAGCCUUGUUCAUCUUCUUGAGGCCCCUUGGCUGCAGAGGGUUUCCGGAAUGUCAGGGGCAAGAGGCCCAUCAGAGGCCAUGUAGGUCAUAGGCAAGAGGGCAGGAACUGGGUCCCGCCGUCUGCACCCAGAGGCCCUGCCUGCUCUGUAGGUGGAAGGUGGGUGUCAGAACCGCCCAGAUCCUGAGGCCUCGCACACAUGGGUCCCCACAUGCCUUGGUCUGCAGUGGCCGGCUGCGUUCACUCCAUCUGUUACAAGAAACCCUGUCACAGCAUCACAGCACCUGGCUGAUGGAAGGGUCAGAAAGUGCUGGUCCACACACACCUGUGUACCUGCAACAUAAGUGAGCUUAUGGUGUGACAUCCCAACUCCCCUUGGUUUCUAGGAACCUGAGUGUCCUUGACUGGGAGUGAGAUGAAGCCAAGAGUCAGCCACAGUACAUUAUCUGGCUACCAUGUAGCUGUGAACAGCAAUGGUGACAGUAGUAGCUGAACAAUUGCUGGGUCCAGGUAGAGGGUUUAGGUGCAUGAACUCACUUAAACAGACGCAUGGUACCCUCAGCCCCAGAAUACCUGGGACAGUCUCAGUUUAAAAAGGUUUUAGUGGGAGCAAAACUAUCCACAUUCUCUUUCUUACAUCAAACCUACUUAAAAGAAAUUACUUGGAAAAAUCAAAAGCAGAAGUCUUUUCUCCUGGAUUAAAGUCUCCCUGGACUUGGGUUUGGAGGAGGUUGCAGAGACCGGAUGUAUACAGGGGAAGAUUUCAAGGGUCAGUUUACCAUCUGGCCACUUCUUUUAGUUGAUGUGUUUUUUAGUUGAUGUGUUUUCCAGUUGAUAGAACUCAGUCCUUCGCAAUUCCUCAUUCUUGCCGCAGUAAAACACAGAAGAAAGUCACUUCCCACCCUCUGCACUCUGUUAGCCAUACUUUGGUUACUUGAUAAACCCAGCACUUUUAUUCCUGGAAUUUUUAUUGUGAUUUCCGAAGCUCCAUAGUUUCUUUCAUUAUGGAAAUAAUUUAAUGACGUUUUUGAAAUUGAAGGACGUGAAUACUUCAGCAAUUUCAGUGGGUGUUUGGUUAUUAAUCAUACAAAUCCAAUUGAAGUGUUCAUUAACCCAUGCAUCUUUGACAAAGAUCUUGACCAUCUGUCAUUUUCCCCCCAUGCUUUUAGAGCUGUAGUGAUGUCAGGAGAUCAGAUAUAAACACACUGGAUACUGAUCUUCAAAGACCUUUUGAAAUGUGGAAAUGAGCUUCUGGUAGGAAGCCUGUUACAAGCCCAUCCCUUUGCAGUGAUCAGCUAUCACCAGGGGGGUGGCUCACAGCACAGGGUUGGGGCAGAGCAAGUAAGCCCUGGCCUUCGAGAUUUGCAGUCCAGAGUGAGCUCCCUGCUUAGGUAAGUGCCAAGCCUGGAAAGGCAGCACACAUUUGAGACUUAAGUGCAUUUGAUGUAAAGAAGCUGCACAUGUAGAGGCGUUCCUGAAACCAGCCCACUUGCAGGGUUAUUGGCUUUCAUUCCUGGACAUCUUGUCUCAAUAGAAAUCCCAUCAAAAGAAGACUCAUGUCUGUAGCUCUCUGCCAUUCGAAUUGUGGCUGGGGGACCUCUUUCCCUCCCUGGCAAUUGUACAAAAUGCUGGAACCCAUUGAUUUUAAUAUUUAAAUGUCAGUAUUUACAUCUCUCAGUUGGAAAAGGCUAGAUCAGCCAGCAUCAGAAAAAAAUCACUAGAUGGCGGGGGAAGACAUAAAAGCUAACCAAGUAGCUCUGAGUCCCUGGAACAUUUCAGAAGGUUUUGGGAUGUUGGAAAACUGUGCUUUGAAUCUGUUCCAGAUCCUCAGCAUGUAUCCACCUCCUAACUGGUGAGGCCAGGGCUACCCAGCUGGGCUGGGCCACCAUUGGUUCUCAGUUCCUGUGCUGAGGAGGGCUGGUGAAUCUGAAAGGCUCCAUGACAUGCCCAGGCACGGCUGUCACCCCAAAGAUGCAUCAUUCCUGUGUCUAUGUGCCUGAGGCUUGGCUCCAGCAACAUGUGUCUGACCAGAGCUGCCUCGAGUCUUACUGGGAUGGGAAAUGAGCUGGAAAGUUCCAAUACCCUGUGUCUUCUAUAUGAGACCCUCCUUGGCUAGCCUUGCAUCUUGUUCCUAGAUACCGGCUGCUACAGCGUCUUAAUUCUGGCAGGAAGGAAUGCUUUGUGGCAGAGACCUCAGCAUCCUGAAAUUUCAGUAAAAGCCUUUGCUCUUUGCAGAUCAUGUCCUCACUAGCAGAAAGACCACCAGCUAUCUGGUGGUAGAGAGUUGGAAAUGCCAUCACACGCAGCUCCUCCUGGGGACUGCUGCAUGUUGCACAUGGCUUGUAGGCAGCAGCCCACCAGGGGACUGGUUAUUUCAGAGAAUGGAAAUUAUAUGUGAAGGCUGAGCAUUUCCUGAGAAAGUAUCCUUGAUACCAGCAUGAUAGUAAUGGUGGUGGUGAUGGUGAGUUUAAUAGGCACAGCCACUCCAAGCAUUUGCACUGUGCUGGGCAUUAUAGUUGAGUUUGUCCACCUCACCCCUAGGUUCAUACCUACCGUGAGGUGUCAGAGAGCUUCCAUCUGUCUGACUGCAACUCAUGCUAUUCCCUUGCUCCACUAAACACACUCUUCUACCAGUAAGAAGAACCCCUUGAGGGCCAUGGAUGUCACUUCCUCAUUUGUGUCCUGUCACAUGGUAAUGUUUACAAACAGUGGGUGUGGUGCUGGUGGAAAUGCAAAUGACUCUCUGACGACCCAGGUGGCUCUGCUGAAUUGAGACCUUCUAAAGGUUUAUCACAGGACAGUGCAGCCUGGCCCCACCCACAAGACCCAAGAGAGACCAACCAUCCAGAGGGGGGCUGUCAGAAAGCUUAGGCGGCCUUGUAAAUGCGGUGAGGGAUGGGGCGUGGUGCCAGGUGCCCCACUCCGGCUGUGGCUCCCUACAGGCACAACCCCUCUGGGCCCUGCUGGGUCCUUGCACCCUCCUUGCGCACCCCAGGCCUCCCUGCUGCACGCCCUCUUCCCCCUGCACAUAGGUGGGUGUCUUGGACUAUGUCCUUCUAGCAGGGAAAGAUUGCGACUAAUGAUUUCCAAAAAACAAAGGAAAUGACUUAAUUGAUGAAAUUUAUGAUGCUGUCAAUGGCAGGAAGCCAGCUGUUUUCCCAUAAUUAGAGGGCUCCUUGCUUCAUGUCCAAAUAUUUAUUCAUGUACAUCAACCUCCCAUCCACAAUGGCGGGAUCCCAGCAGGCCCCGCGUGUGCCUGCUGACUGCCGUGGGAUGCCCAGCUCUUGUCUGCCCCACCACGGACCCAGACCCCCGCUGCACUGGUGCUCGCCCGGGGCAGAUGGUCUAUUUACAAUGAAGGAAAUUCAGAGCAGAGUGAAGUAUCAGUUUUAACAGUGGACAGUGGAAAGCCUGAUUCAAAUUAUGUUAAACCCCAACCAAAAGGAUUCAAUGUGAGAACUUGAGGUAUUUUAGAGCACAGAAAGCAGCUUCCUUUCAUGGCCCUGCACACUCUUGAUUCCCGUGCAAGAGGCCCACAAACUCAGGAAGGGGAGGCACGCUGGCAACAGCCCCAGGUCGCUCCCACAUGAGGAUCAUUGCCUCUGAGUGAGUCUGCCGGGUGUGGGGGCACUGAGCAGGGGUCUGGCAGUGAGGCCUCGCCAGCANGAGGGAGCAGCCCCUGUGUAGGGUAUUAUGAGAAAUGGAAAUGCCUGUUGCAUUUUGGCUGUUAGUGAUCCAGGUGGGGGAGAUCAAAGUGCUGGGGACAUAGCAUCCAUGGUGAUUUUGUAAAGGUCCAGGUGUAGUAAUUUGUUUAAUGUGUGUUACAACGAAGUGGUCUCCAGCUAUGACCCCCUUAGUGUUGAGCCCCUAAGUGGGAACAGAAGGCCUGGGUGUGCAUAAACCCAGGGUGGGUGGGAUGGAAGAAUGAGGCUGCACUGGGGCGUAGGAAGCAAGAAGUCCCCAGGAGGAAAGUCGGCAAGGGCUGUGCAGGUGCUGGGAGAGCCAGGGCCAUGUGCCUGUGAGUGCAGGUGUGUUCAAGGACUGGGAAUCCAGGUGCAUGGGAGAGGGGGUGCAGAGGGGCUAGCAUGGACCCUGACAGUGUCAUGGACAGAAUACCCACCCUGUAGGAUCCCCUCGAUUCCCAAGGAUGCAGACUGAGUGUUAUGGAAGGGCGUCUCAGAGCCAGCGUUGCCCAGUGCAGCAUGAGUUGGCCUCACAGAGGCCCCAGCGAUGCGAUGUGCUGCAGUUUCCCCACUUGCUCCUGAGGCUCUGGGGUGCAGCCUCCUUGCUGUACCAGGCAGAACCAUGCUCCCAGAGGCCUUGGCAGAAGAGCAGGUCUCCAACACAAAAGGCUCCAUCAAGUCACGGCUUCUGGUUGGAUGAGAUCAGGAUAGUGUUCAUUGCUCAGAGUGGGAAGCUCGAGGUCAGAGAGGGUGAUGGCUGGGACUCAAGCUCCUUCCAUGGGGCCGCCUGUGUUCUCAGGCAAUUUCUGGAAGAGUGUCCCAGCUCAGAGCCAGAACCUAGGCUGUGGCGUGUGGGGACCUAGUAGAUAGUGAGGGACUGCUUAGCUCCACACUCAGUCUUUCCUCCAUUCUCCCGUUCACAGACAAGGUGACCAUGUGCAGACCAGUGCAGUGGUCCUGUGUGUGGGUGGCAAAUAGACCACGCUCCUCGAGGGAGUGGGCAGCAUGGCAUGCAGUGCCAGCCCCUCUGUCCUUCACGGGAGAGGACCGUGCAUGCACCGUCCUCAGCAGCUGCAGGUGACCUGGGUGACAAGAGGGUGAAGAAUGAUUUCCAGUGCUUUCCCAGGGGAAACACGAAUCACUAACCCACUGGUGCUGUGUUUCACUUCCCCAUUGUGCGCCUCAGAUGGCGAGGGUGGAAUGGCAUAGAAAGGCCUUUCUGUGGAUGGCAGGUGGCCGGCUUAUGGUACAAUAUGCCCGGGUUUGGGUGAAUCCUUGUCAUUUGAAAAGCUCUAGCAGCGUAGAACUCAAAGAAAUGUGUAAAUGCUUUUUUCAUCAAGAGUAAUGUUUUAUGCAGUAUUGCAAGAUGAAAAAGUUACAGAGAUGUAUUGCACAACAAGGUGGUUAUAGUUCCCAUUACCAAACUCUACCAUUAGAAAUAGGAUGGUAAAAUUGAAUGUCACGUGUUGUUUUUUUUUUUUACCAAAUUUUGAAAAGAGUGUUUUUUAAAUCAUAGGAUAAAUUUCUUAAUUGAUCUGCUUUGUAUAUGUAUAUUUGCAUCCCUUGGAGUUUCUCAAAGUCACAGCCUCCUUUAGGGGUGUUUGUCUGACUGUCUCCACCACUCUGUCCUGUCCCCUCGUCAUUGCUUCCUUUCUUCCUCCCUUCCUCUCUCCCUUUCUUCCUUCGUUCCUUCCCUGCCCCCGUCUUCCAGGCAGUAGGGCACAGAUCACAUGAUUCUGGAAGGGGUUCACAGGCUGUGGGUAUGAUCUCUCUGCCUGCUGGACUCACAGUCCCUGAACCAGCUUAUCUCACCCUGACUUCACACUUGCCCACUCACAUCCACUGAAACCCCCUGAUCUUAGCUGCCCAGCCAGGCCCAUUCCCACUGGGCCAGGCACGGAGCAUCCCUGGGUCUGUAAAGGGACCCAAAUCCUAUUGCUGCCAUGUAAACUCUGGAUGCUGUUUGGAAGCUGACCAUGGGUGGUUUCAGGUGGUAUUUAAUGAUGCCUGGGCCCUGGGGACACAUAGGAGCAGGCCGGACCAGGUGGUACAGGCCUCCCACAGGCAGCUCGAAGAGGACUGGCCUUUCAUUCAGGGGCCUCCACUUGUUGGGGGCUCUCUGGGUCAUCGUAGGUCAAGGCCAGGUCUCCUAUCCAGGACACCUCCCCUGACUUUGCCCCUUUCCCGAGAGCCCAGGGCUCCCCCAUCCUGCCCGGAUAACACAGUGACUGUCACUUUGUCAUUCUGCCAUCUCCCCCAGCAGUUGUGAGCUCCUGGAAAGAGGAGGAACGGGAAUUGCCCUGAGCUUCCCCACCCUGGGGCCCACUGGGGAACGAGGAUACAGGAGGUGGGGAUAAGGGCCAGUGGUCUGGGCCAGGUACUGCAGAGGCUUCUGGGAGGAGUCUUUGCUCUGUUGCUGCUCAGGCGUAGCUAGACUUCUCUAGCAGUGCUCUCUGGUCACUGGAGAUGAAUGGGAGGCGGGGUUUGUGUGCCCUGAGAGCUCCAAAAAGAGGCUGCUGCUUGGGGGUCAACCUCCACUGCCCCUCCACACCCCUUGACACCCAUGCUUUGGGACCCUGAGUAGUGACUAGUGAGUAUUUAUACCUGAUCCAGGGAGCUCUGUGCACUUCUAGUUUGGAAGAGAUUUUAGGAUAAGAAAUACGCGGUUGCUGUCGUCAACCUACUGUGGAAACCACCGUCUCUUAUUGCACAAAACCCAAUUUGACUUUUAGGAGUUGAUGAACAGUUUGUUUUCCUUCCAUGACUCUCACAUCACAAACAGGCAGAUCCAGGUGCCCCAUGUGGUCACCUGGACAGGUGUCUGUGGAUGUCCCUGUUGGGCCGGGGAUGCUGGUGCUGGUGGUAUGCCCUGGGGUCCCUUCUGCCUGUCCUGGACUGCCUGGACUGGCCUUUUCAGACAUGGCUCUCGACCCUCCCAGGCCCACGGUUCCAAUUCCAUUUUGAGUGUAUACUUUCUCAUGCCAUCUUUACUCUCCUGAGAUCAAAGCCAUAGCUAAUAUAAACCACUUUAACACAUAUUUAAAAAAGAAAAUCUAUGAUACCCCAACCCUAAUGUUAAAGGAGAAUGAAAAUCAAGCACUUUAAAAUAAAAUAAUAUGUAAUUCAAUGUGAAUACCCUUGAGCAGGCCACCCUAGAAAACAGAAAUCACCACUCCAGGGUUUUUGUUUUUGUUUUUUUUAACUGUGGAAGAAAAGCAUCUAACAAAAAUUUGCCACUGUAAUGUGUACAGUUCAGUGGCAUUAAGCAUCUUCACAAUGUACAACCAUCACUGCUAUCUAGUUCCAGAACUUUCUCAUCCUGAAAGGAAACCCUGUUAACCGUUAGCAGUCACCCCCCGACUCCUCUCAUCCCCCACCCUGCCAGCCCCUAAUCUGCUUUCUUCUCUAUAGAUUAGCAUAUUCUGGGCAUUUCAUGUAAGUGGACUGAUAUGAUGUGUGACCUUUUGUGUCUGGCUUCCUUCACUGAGCAUUGUUAUUUUCGAGGCUUAUUCGUGUUGCAUGUGUGAGAGCUCCAUUCCUGUUUAAGGCUGACUCACAUUCCACGGUAUGGGUGCACCCCAUUGUGUUUGGGUACCAUGGAUGGAUAUUCGGUUGCUCUUCCCGUUGGCAGCUGUGAAUGUCAUGUGCAAACACUAGUCAGAGCACCUGUUUUCAGUUCUUGAGUGGAACUGCUGGGCCACAUGGCAGCUCGUUUAACUUGCUGAGGGUUGGCCCACUCCAUGUUUGAAUGUCCACUUUGGAGACCUCCUGGCCUCUGGUGUGAUGGGGUUGUUUCCCAAACCUCUGCCUUGGGUGCGGUAGAAAAAAGCUGGUCUGGACAGAUGUGAUCCCCUAAGGGACACAUGCUGUCUUCAUUAAGGGACAACUGCUAAUGUACUGAAUCCUAGGUAGAUGGUGGUAAGACGGUCUCCUCCAGGGCAGAGAGCUCAUGACAUCUCCUGCAGGGACAGGCCUGGGAGUCACAGUUCUCAGCUGCUGUCUGUAAGUCACUGCCUCGUUCCUCCUCGCAGCCUAUUGGCCGGUUGGUCGUUGGCCACGCCCACCUGCCGUGCCCUCCACAAAGGCGGCCCUGAAGGUGGACAGCCCUGGUGACUAUCCUUUGUAAACACUGAAGUUGCUAAAACAUGAUGUGUUUGAGGAGAAUCCCAGUCAGAUCAAGUGAUCAGGGGAGGGGGCUAAAUCAAAAAAGAAAAUAAAUUCAAGUAAGCAAGAGGAACCGAAGCCAGGUAGCAGCCUUGCUGGUGGUGCUGAAGGGUGAAACUCAGGUGUGAGUGGAGUAUCAUCUUGCCUUUUGGUUGCCAUGCAGCUUUUUACAUCUGUGCUUUCCAUGACAGCUUAUAUUGAGUGAAACAUGGGAGUAUUGCUAAAAUUCCUCCAAUUGGAAGGCUAUACUUCCUAGCCUUUUGGACAUAUCAUUUCCCUUUUAAAUGUGGCAUUUUAGAGGAAAUGCUCCCACCUAACCAAGCACUUCAGUGUUUUCGGCGGGGAGAAUUUUCAGUUUUGCUAUCCAAACUAUAGGCUUCCCUUCCGGGGCCUCUUGGCAUCAUGCCGCAGGUGUCCUCCUGUUCCCGGAAGCUCUCCUGAGACUCAGGGAGACUGGGGAAGAGGUCCUUGCUGCUGAGGACCACGUUAUGUCUGCUGAGGUCUUGAGCAUUGUCAGCACCCAGACCAGGAAUUUCUAACAGGUGUCACCCAGCCCUUCCAGAAUAUAUCCUGCAGAUGGAAGAGACUGGUAAAUCAAAGCCUUUUUCAGUUUAGGGGGUGGGAUAAAGCUCUUUAAAUCAUUCUGGGAACAUUUAAGCUGGGAAGACUGUGCUUUUCAUUGUCCUGCUGUCCUUUCUUCACUUACGCUCUGACUUUCAAAGGUGCAUGUGUUUAAUUGGAUGAGCCCAAAUCAGGAGGCCUCGAAAUUAAUACGGAGCAGUCCUGGGUGACUGUUUUCAUUCCUAGGACCGCAGGGGACUUCCCAGAACUCAACUCAUGUGCCUGAAUGACACAGGACUUCAUUCUUAUAUGAUCAUAUAAAGAUAAAUAAAUAGCUUAAGAGUGCUCCACCUUCUGGUGGCCCAGAUAGAAGACAAAGGUCACGUUCCAGGAGCUCAUGGGUUUCCUCCUACUCUUUAGAGAAGUUUCCGCACUGGGUGCACAGUGCAGUCACCUGGGACUUUACAAAGUGCAGAUGCUAAAAGUGCCCAGGCAACUUCUGUCUCCAGAGGUGGAUUGCCGCUCGGGCGUCAGAACUGUUUUAAAUGCUCUCCCCAUUUGUGACUCCAGUGUGAAACUAAGGUUGAGUCCUGCUGUGGUUCUGAGCUUGUGGCUCUGGUUGUAUAUUGGUAACACCAGGGAGUUUUUUAAAUGCCUGUAUCUGGGCCUCACUCCCACAGGUAAGGGGAGAGGUCCCAGCAUCGGGAUUUUUAAAUGUGAUUCUAAUGUACAGUUAGGUUUGAGAACAAUAUUUUAUAUUUGUGUUUCUAACUUGGGUGUGUGUCCCAGUUGCAUGGAGGACUGACCCCACUGUUUGGUGAGGCAGCAGACUCCCACCCCUGGGUGAUCCUGAUACAACCUGCAUUUGUGACCUGAUAGAGCUUACAGGACAGGUGGGUGUCGUGUGCCAGGAAUAUGGGGAUGACCCUUGUGCUGAUCCCACCGUGGGUCCCAGCUUUCCUUCAGCAGGGCCAGGUGGGUGCUGUGACCCCACCUCACAGGUUCUCCAUUCUUCAUCUUUAAAUAGGAUCAGGUAGCCACUGGUAAAUGUGAAUCACCCUAGCACAGUGUGAGGAAGGUCCAAGUGUGUCCCAAGGUACCAAUGAUGGUGUUACUGCACUCUGUCCAUGUGCAUAAUUGGAGGUUCAGUGUAUUUAGGAAAAGGUGCAGAGUUCCCAAGGACCUCCUGGGUUUCUAAAUACAAUUUUCUAGUGGUCUGAGAAAGUCACCACCCGCAGCUCAGGGGUAAAUUGGACACUGCAUGCUGACCUCCCAGGCCAAGCUGAAUUCAGUCCUGGGUACCCCACAGUCUUGGACAGGAUACCCUGCUUCUCCAGGGCUCAGUGGGGGCAUCUGGUGUCCCCAUACGAAGGCUGGCUCUCUGCUCUGUCCUCAGCACCCAAGAGUUUCUCUGCCCUGAGCCUCACUCCUUCCUCUUGUGGUGGCUGGUAGAAGGUGACAUCCACCAUGGACCGGGUGACUAGGGAGCUGGACGCCUUUUGUCCUGGUCCUGGCACACCUGCCCUCAGCAGGGCUGCAUCUCUGCAUGCCACCUAAGUGAUCCAGAGACCAAGCAUUGCUUGUUUCCAUGGCUCUGUGAACUGCCAUCCCACAGUGAGUCUGAGGCCCCCCAGGCCUGGCCAGGGCUGAGCCAGUGCCUGAACAGCCCAGACUACUCAGGCUGGGCAGGUGUUUCUCUGUCCUUGACCCUCAUGAAUAAAGUGAAAUUGUUAAAAUGA